rnacentral:rRNA from 1 species
AACGAACGCUGGCGGCAGGCUUAACUCAUGCAAGUCGAGCGCCCCGCAAGGGGAGCGGCAGACGGGUGAGUAACGCGUGGGAAUCUACCCAGCUCUACGGAACAACUCCGGGAAACUGGAGCUAAUACCGUAUACGUCCUUCGGGAGAAAGAUUUAUCGGAGUUGGAUGAGCCCGCGUUGGAUUAGCUAGUUGGUGGGGUAAUGGCCUACCAAGGCGACGAUCCAUAGCUGGUCUGAGAGGAUGAUCAGCCACACUGGGACUGAGACACGGCCCAGACUCCUACGGGAGGCAGCAGUGGGGAAUAUUGGACAAUGGGCGAAAGCCUGAUCCAGCCAUGCCGCGUGAGUGAUGAAGGCCCUAGGGUUGUAAAGCUCUUUCACCGGUGAAGAUAAUGACGGUAUCCGGAGAAGAAGCCCCGGCUAACUUCGUGCCAGCCGCCGCGGUAAAAC